ACCAUUUCCAAACUCCACCUCGCUCUACCUUCUGUACCCCCACUCCUUGUCGCCGUCAUCAGCCAAUCAGGGAGUGGUGCGUUUGUGUAGCCUCCAAAAACACGAGCCUGAUCCGUAUCUGAUCUUUUUAAUUCAUGACCUCCAUCCAAGGC